rnacentral:rRNA from 1 species
ACGCGACCCCAGGUCAAGCGGGGCUACCCGCUGAGUUUAAGCAUAUCAAUAAGCGGAGUAAAAGA